UAUACCCACAUCUCUCUCUCUUUCUCACUCACACCCCAACUCCAAAACCAAACCCUCUCUCUCUCUCUCUCUCUUUCUCUCUACAAUCUUGUAAACCAGAUCAACCCUACCAUACCCCCUUUCUCUCUCACACAUAUAGAAGCUUCACUUUCUCUUGUCUUUGUUUUGGAUGAAGGAUUUUCACUUUUGAGUGAGCCAUGGAGAGGAACGAGGUGAUAAAGAUGGAGGAGACCAUUGGAUCUUCGUUAUUUUCUGAUCAUAUCUCAGAUGGUUAUCCAUUUUCGGGCAUAUUUGAUAUCUAUGAAGGUGAAAAGAGCUCCUUAGGGUUUGCGGAGUUAUUGGGUAUUCAGGACUAUAGUCCAUCUCUGUUUGAUUCGCCACAGGCACCAUCUAUGGCUCCCUCGGCUCCACUUCCGGCUACGACAGUGAAAGAGUGUUCUGAGGUCCUGAAUCAGCCUGCUACCCCUAACUCAUCCUCGAUUUCAUCCGCAUCGAGUGAAGCAGUAAAUGAUGAACAGACUAAACCUGUAGACCAGGAAGGAGAGCAACAAGAAAAGACUAAGAAACAGUGCAGGUUGAAACCCAAGAAGACAAACCAGAAGAGACAGAGGGAACCGAGAUUUGCGUUCAUGACGAAGAGCGAGGUUGAUCACCUGGAAGAUGGGUACAGAUGGAGGAAGUACGGUCAAAAGGCUGUGAAGAACAGCCCCUAUCCUAGGAGUUACUAUCGUUGCACUACUGCCUCCUGUAAUGUGAAGAAACGUGUGGAGCGAUCCUUCACAGAUCGAAGUAUUGUUGUUACUACCUAUGAAGGGCAGCACUCCCAUCCAAGUCCAGUCAUGCCUCGCCAUAGCCUUGCCGGAGUUCAACCGGGCUCGGGGUUCUCCGCCGGAUGUGCCGCUGCUAGCUUUGCUUUGCCAAUGGCAAGAACCCUAUCUUACAGUCAACAACUGCACCAACCAUCCUUUAUCAAUACCUCGUCGCCUUCGAAUUUGGCUUCUGAUGGUUUAAUAUUAAGCCCUGGUUUACGUCGUGACAUUCGGUUCUGCACCCCGGGUUCUGCUUUUCUCAGAGAUCAUGGGCUUCUUCAAGACAUUGUUCCCUCGCAUAUGCUGAAAGAAGAAGAGUAGAGGAGAUUAACCAAUUACUACUACUUUUUAUGUUGUUUUGUUGAUCACUGACUUUGUAGGAAGAUGAUAUUGUAGAUGAGAAAGCCCCACAUUCCUGGGAGGGAAGUGGACUGUGAUAAAAGAAAACCAGCAACGCAGACACACACAUGCGCAAUGAAGGAUUUUGGAGCGUGAUUCUUUGCUUCAAGCGUGGAAUAAAUCCUGAAAGGUAGAUGUGGGAACUUUUUAGCUUUUCAUGUAAAAAAGAAUGGCUCAUAAGGUUUCCGAAGACGCGUGCGACCACCCAGGCUUUUGAGAAUGUCAUUGCCGGGAAUAUCCAUCCAGGGCUUCGUCGAUUGCCAUGCCAGGGCACAACAGCACCAGCAUAACCCUAGCUAGUACUCUUGUGUGCAUAUCAUUUAUUGUGCCUGCUUGACGUUUUAUUGUUUUCUUUUCACAAAUCAGAGCAUUAUCUCAAUACUAAGCCCUUCAGGAACUUAAUUGCUCCGAGAAA